rnacentral:rRNA from 1 species
GCUCAGGGGCCGCACCUAUGGUAAGCACCCUCCGGGGUAAACUGCCGGUCGGCGCCCUAAUGGCCGUGGGCUCCGGCUCCGGUCACGAAUACCUCGAACAAAUGAGAGCGCAUGAGGCAGGCACAUGUUGCCGGAAUCUAUUAGCAUGGAAUAACACAUGGACCGCAGCGUCUUGUUGUUGGUUAAAGACGAUGCAGUAAUGAUUAACAGGGGUACUCGGGGCCAACCGUACUCUGGGGCUAGGGGUGAAAUCCUGUGACCCUCAGAAGACGACCUAAUGCGAAAGCAGUUGGCUAGGGUACUUUCAUUGAUCAAGCACGAAGGGUGGGGGAGCAAAGACGAUUAGACACCGUUGUAGUCCCACCAGUAAACGAUGUCGACGCGAUCACGGGUGUCUGUGUUAGCAGCGCUCGGGAGCGUAUAGAAAUUAGAGUCUUUGGACUCUGGGGGGAGUAUGGUCGCAAGUCUGAAACUUAAAGGAAUUGACGGAAGGGCACAACCAGGCGUGGAGCCUGCGGCUUAAUUUGACUCAACACGGGGAAGCUCACCAGGGCAGGACAUGAUUAGGAUUGACAGACAUGACAGAUCUUUCAUGAUCUCAUGGGUGGUGGUGCAUGGCCGUUCUUAGUUCGUGGGGUGACUUGUCUGGUUGAUUCCGAUAACGAGCGAGACCGAGACCCAAGGUUGGCGCCGUUUCCCUCAUGUUCUUUUGGGCUUCGAGGGCGGCGCUCUUCUUGCGCCUUGGGGACCGGCGCCCGGUUAAGGGCGUGGAGGUGCUUGGCAAUAACAGGUCUGUGAUGCCCUUAGAUGUCCUGGGCCGCACGCGCGCUACACUGAUGCAGACAAUGGGCAUUUGCCUAUCCCGAGAGGGCUGGGUAAUCCUGUGAGGCUGCAUCGUGCUGGGGAUCGAGCACUGGAACUGUGCUCGUGAACA